CCCUUAGAUGUUCUGGGCCGCACUCGCGCUACACUGAUGCAUUCAACGAGCCUAUCCUUGACCGACAGGUCCGGGUAAUCUUUGAAUCUGCAUCGUGACGGGGAUAGAUUAUUGCAAUUAUUAAUCUUCAACGAGGAAUGCCUAGUAGGCGCAAGUCAUCAGCUUGCGUCGAUUACGUCCCUGCCCUUUGUACACACCGCCCGUCGCUCCUACCGAUUGGGUGUGCUGGUGAAAUGUUCGGAUCGGCCGUUUGUCGCGGUUUCCGCGGCUCGUGGCUGAGAAGUUCAUUAAACCCUCCCACCUAGAGGAAGGAGAAGUCGUAACA
rnacentral:rRNA from 1 species